UCCCCAGCAGCAGUUGGGAGCUGCGGACGUUAAUCCCGCCCCCGGGGGUGGUUGCCGGUGAGGGCUUCCGCCUAAUUCCUGGCAGCACCUCACAGCACACACUCCAGGUCCAGGUCUGACACCUCAACUGACUCAGACUUGGGUGAAAUGUGGAGCCAGAGGGAGAUGCAAAGUGCAAUUCAAAAUCAAAAAUUAUAAGACUGCCAGGAUAUCACACAAAAUAGUAUAGAUCAGCGCUUCUAAUCUCACCCUAAAACAAUGUGAUGCAGGACGGAAAUAUCGAGACCUGUGUCUGAUAAAUUACAUGAAAGAAUGGCAACAAAGAAAUUAAUGAGCUUCAUAUAAAAGGAAGGACCCAGAAGAAAGACAAGCAUGAGAUGGAACUGCUCCCAGGAGUGGGGUUGGCAGGUGUCAGCAGCUGCUAAAGGUUGAAAGCUAUUACUGUGC